GACGAACGCUGGCGGCGUGCUUAACACAUGCAAGUCGAUCGGAAAGGUCUUGUUUGCCGGGUUCUCGAGUGGCGAAGGGGUGAGUACGACGUGGGAGAUCUGCCCUGCACUUCGGGAUACACACGGGAACCUGGGUCUAAUACCGGCUAGGACACAUUUUUUGUUUUCUGGUUGGAAAGUAUUUUCGGUGUAGGGGGAGCCCGCGGCCUAUCAAGUUGUUGGUGGGGUAAUGGCCGACCAAGGCGGCGACGGGUAGCCGGCCUGGGGGGGGGGACGGCCACAAUGAGACUGAGAAGCUGCCCAGACUCCUACGGGAGGCAGCAGUGGUGAAUAUUGCACAAUGGGCGCAAGCCUGAUGCAGCGACGCCGCGGGGGGGAUGACGGACUUCGGGUUGUAAAAUCCUUUCGCUAGGGACGAAGCAUUUUGUGACGGUACCUAGAUAAGAAGCGCCGGCUAACUACGUG
rnacentral:rRNA from 1 species